GGCUCUUCUCCUGAUUUUCAGUUCAAGGAGGAAAAGGACCCGGAGUCAUAAAUGUCUUAAGGUCGCACAGGAAGUCAGUGGCAGUCAGACAAGGAUCUACACCCCCGGAUCCUGUGACAUGUGCCAUUUUACAUCAUACUGACUACUCACGAAAAAUGCAGUUUUUAAGAAAAACAUAGUAAACACGCUUUUGGAUCUCUCCAAGCUCCCAUUUCCUCACAUGAGACGUCGUGAGGCUUCAGCGGGAGAACACGGGCCAAGUGCGCAGCCUGCUGUCAACGUUGGGUCCCCACUGUGCCCAGGGCCUCACACCAAUGCCUGAAAGUACCCACAGAUUCACUCCUGCACAACCCC
rnacentral:lncRNA from 1 species